GCCUGGGUAGCUCAGUGGGUUGAGCAUCCGACUUUGGCUCAGGUCAUGAUCUCAGUUUGUGAGUUCAAACCCCACACUGGGCU
rnacentral:tRNA from 1 species